UACGGAAGGUCCGGGCGUUAUCCGGAUUUAUUGGGUUUAAAGGGAGCGCAGGCGGGAUAUUAAGCGUGACGUGAAAUGUAGCCGCUCAACGGCUGAACUGCGUCGCGAACUGGUAUUCUUGAGUGAGUUCGAUGUAGGCGGAAUUCGUGGUGUAGCGGUGAAAUGCUUAGAUAUCACGAAGAACUCCGAUUGCGAAGGCAGCCUACAAGGCCUUUACUGACGCUAAAGCUCGAAGGUGCGGGUAU
rnacentral:rRNA from 1 species